rnacentral:lncRNA from 1 species
AUCACAAGUAUCAGAAACAGCUGGUGAAUAUUUUUCCUCACCUGCCUUUAAUGCGUGUAUUACAGCACAUUGGUUGGUAGUAUCUACUUGAAGAUACAAAAAGUACUGAGAGGGUACUUUGCAAGUGGUCACCUGGCUAAUAAAACAAACAGCUCAGGUUCUGCCAUCCUUCUCCCUACCUUCCAGAGCAAGCACCAGGUUUUAGGUGUUACCUUGCUAGCAUGUUCACCUUUGUAUAUGUGUGUACAAACAAUAGGUCAGUGCGUCCUGGACUGAGAGGGCUUGGCUAUGAAAGGUUACUUCAGCAUGUCCAUUAACACUUCAUUUGAAUAACUUUUGUUUACUAUGUAUUAGGAAAUAAACAACUGGUAUUUGACUUCAAACCAAGACCCACAUGUAUGGUCUUAGGACAAGGAUGUCUUUAAAAAAAAAAACUGAGUUGAGUAAGAGAAAUGUUAAAUGUAAGUAUUGCAAAGAAUAUGACAAAAGUAGCAAGAAUGUGAUAGAACUGAAGUUUGGGAACCCCUGCCUAAGAGAUUCCUCUGGGUAUGCACAUGUGAUGAAAGAAUAAAUCAACUCUAUUCAGGCUUCUGUUUUGGCUCACUACCAUUGUAGACUGUCUGGCAAUUCCAGAUUAGGGAAUUAUCCAUCGUGGGCUUCUAAAGUCCUUGGAUGUCUUUUGCUGCCCCUUAUUCUAUGUGCGUGUUUGAGGAACAAACAUUAGUUUUUUAAUAUUAACCAAACAAAUUAUUUAGCUAAUACUGAGACACAGCAAUGGAAACAUGCCAUUCCCAAAGCCAAAAAUGGCUUCUAGGAUUAGCUUCUAUUCUGGUUGAUUUAUGCCUAUUUUCUCCUCAUUUGAUUGGGUGAUUAAAUUGAUUAGCUCUGAAUUAACUCAACUCUGCAUUCUUGAUAACUUCUGCUAAUAGGUGGGAAUACUUAAAUUUCAAACUUUUGAGCCAUGAUACUAGGCUUGCUUGCUGAAUUGUAUUUGUAUGUAAUCAUGAGAAUGAAGGAUUAGGUUUCUUAGAAGUCAGCAUGAGGAGUUCCUGUUGUGUCCAGCGGUAACAAACCUGACUAGUAACCAUGAGGAUGUGGGUUCGAUCCCUGGCCCUGCUCAGUGUGUUAAGGAUCCCAAGUUCCCGUGAGCUGUGAGCUGUGGUGUGGGUCGCAGACGUGGCCCAGACCCUGAGUUGAUGUGGCUGUGGGAAUUGUUCUCUGCUGUAGAUAUGGCCCCCCACCCCCAAAAAAGUCAGCAUGAAAUCGAAAAAAAUUUAAAAUGUGGUGAAGCAAUCACAUGUCUUAGAGAAACCCUGGGAUCUCUUGGACUAAUCAGUUGACAAGGCUUCCACUCUUGGUAAUGCAUAUUUUCUUUGGUGGUUUUAGGUGACUGAGAAGACUGUUAAAGCAAAAAGCUCUGUUCCUGCCUCAGAUGACAACUAUCCAGAAAUAGAAAAAUUCUUUCCCUUCAAUCCACUAGAUUUUGAGAGUUUCGACCUGCCUGAAGAGCACCAGAUCGCACACCUGCCCUUAAAUGGAGUGCCUCUGAUGGUCCUCCGUGAGGAGAGGGAACUUGAGCAGCUGUUACACCUGGGCCCCCCUUCGCCUCUGAACAUGCCUUCUCCACCGUGGGAGUCUGAUGUGUUGCAGUCUCCCUCAAGCAUUCUGUCGACCCUGGAUGUUGAAUUGCCACCUGUUUGCUAUGACUUACAUAUUUAACUUUCUUAGCACUUUAUGGUCUGUGGGUAUGUAUUAACAGUUUGUAUUAAUAAAGCAACUCUUUAACA